rnacentral:snRNA from 1 species
ACCCAUCANNUCAAGUGUAGUAUCUGUUCUUUUCAGUUUAAUCUCUGAAACUGUCCGCACUGGACAAAAAUACGAUUAAACCCAAUUUUUACAACGCGAUCCUGGGACGCGCUGGGGGCUUGCCCUCACCGUCCUGGGAUAGAGUGUCUCUGGUAUCACACUGCUUCCAGAUGAUGCGAAAUGGG